rnacentral:rRNA from 1 species
GACGAACGCUGGCGGCGUGCCUAAUACAUGCAAGUCGAACGCAGUGGGGACGGGUGAGUAACACGUGGGUAACCUCCCAUCAGAGGGGAUAACACUUGAAAACAGGUGCUAAACCGAUACUGAUGGAUGGACCCGCGGUGCGUGAGCUAGUUGGGGAGGUAACGGCUCACCAAGGCCACGAUGCAGAGCGGACGGGGGCGGGUGAUGGGCAACAUUGGGACUGAGAACUGGCCCAGGUUCCUAAGGGAGGCAGCAGUAGGGAAUCUUCGGAAAUGGACGAAAGUCUGACCGAGCAACGCGGCGGGAGUGAAGAAGGUUUUCGGAUCGUAAAACUCUGUUGUUAGAGAAGCGGUAUCUAACCAGAAAGCCACGGCUAACUACGUGCCAGCAGCCGCGGUAAUAC